AGAAAGCGCAGCCAUGCUUUGCAGAGGCUACAGCAUCGCUCUCACUGGUAGUAUCAGCUUCUCGUCAAACGGAGUCUCUGCCUCUCCGCCGCUACACCGGCAUGAACCGGGAAUACAAGCCGUCACUGUAAAGGUCCGCAGUGAAGCGAUAUGAAGACGAAGCGAGGUGAAAAAGCAGCGGCGCUCGGAUACACGUUGGCAGCGGCGUAGGAUUCACCAUAUGGCGCGGAGCGUAUCGUGGUGCGUUAUGGAAUAACGGAGGACAUUUACGAUUUCUGCAGUUUUGGACAAAGCAGCCACGGAAACACACCUAACGGAGUGCUUUUCGCCUGCAUGAGCGGCCUGGGACUUAUAACCACUUGGCCUGCGAAGCUGCCUGCUGGUUGUCUUGCGUUUAAAUCUAACCCGUUUUUCUUCAGCUGAUUUUUAACAUUUCAAGGUAGGGCACACACAACAACCAGGACAGGAUUUGAUCCCUUUGGACCUGCGCCGGAUGUUUGGGAUUUUCAGAUUCGUCCAACUUCACAUAUCGCUGUUUAGACAUAGGCCCCAAAGGCUGCAAAAUAAAUUGAUUAUAUUUAUAAUGAAAGAUUCGAGCUGUGUGCCCAUUCUCUGCAGAAGUGUAAAUGCAGCUGGUGGACGGACACGCGUUUAUGCACACAGAGGAGCGGGUUGUGUCUCUCCGUGUUCACAGCGGACCUUGAUUUAAUGUCUUACAAUUAAGGCACGCGGUGAAUGCCAAGAGAUGACACUUCUUUCUUCGGAGGUCUACACAGCCAAGUAACCCAUCUUUAAACCAUGUACGGCAUUUUCAAGCAUGUUGAGGUUUUCUGUUUCUCGGACUGUAACGCUGUAUUCAUGUGGUGUUUCUUUCCUGUUUCAAAGAAAUAAAAUGUGCACAACAAAA